ensembl:lncRNA
GUCCUUUUUGACACUCCAUUCUACUGACGAAUACUAAAAAGGGGGUGGGAAAGGGCACAAAUUAUUUCAUCUGCUUGUAAAACAUGAUGAUAAGGGUAGGAAAUGGUGCCCAAUUAAUCCAUGCUUUUUGUAACAUUUCCUUUGGAGGCCUGUUUUGGACAUGCCUUCCUAUGAGCAAGGUAAUUGUUAUGACCUAGUGCUGUUUGCCACAGUGAUACAAUAGAACUAGGCAUCCUUCCAACUAAGCUCACAUGUUAACCUUCUCUUCUCCUUAUAUAUUUCACUAGUUCUCAUCCAUCAUGUAUUUAGUGACUGAUUUACUUUCAACUAGAACACUAGUAAUUAACAUUUACCCAGAGCGGUCACUUUAUCAAAUGCUCAUGGCAGACACUGUUGAUUAUCUUACCCACCUUCCUUCUCUCCCCGGCUGUCUUCCACCAUAGAGGCUGAAAAGCCCCCUACUUGUUCAGCCUCCCUUGCAGAUAGAGGUAGCAAUGUCAUGCAGUACUGGAAACUAUAAGACAUAGUGAAAGUCAGCUGAGAGAGUUCUGAGAAGACAGAGAAACAGAAAAAGCUCAUGCAUACUUCUCCCUUCUUUCUGCAUGGAACUUGGGAGUGAGAUGUAGAGAUCUAGCAGCCAUAUUGUGACCAUGAAGCAAUCACUUGACUUGCUAAGGAAGCUGGAAUGGAAAGAUAAAAGGAUCCUGAGACAUUGAUGAUGUCAUGGAGCUUCCACACCUACCUGCAGAUGUCUUGUUAUGAGAAAAAAAAAUGAACUUCUAUUUGUUUAAAGUAUUGGAAUUUUUAUUUUUCUGUUACUUGAAGCUGAAAAUAUUCGUAACUGAUGAAGUGCUUUUAUAAACACUAUCUCAUUUGAGCUUCAUGGCAAACCUGUAGUAGGUUUUCAUUAUUCCUAUGUUACUGAUGGAGAAAGGGAAAUUAAUGAAGUGUCAGUUAAGAGCACACACCUAGAAAAAGGUGGGCCAGGACUUAAGUCCUGGAAAUCUCAAAUUCUCUGUGCUUUUUCCAACAUUCCUCUGUCCCUGUCCAGGAUAAGAAUUUGAACUUACAUGGGAAAGGAAGACAGUCUAUUAAAGAGUUAUUUGAUCUACCUGUUGAGCGACUUCAGGUUCUUCUCUCCCUCUUCAAUUACUAAAGUAUUAAUUGGUGCAUCAUGCUUCUGCUUCCUCUAUUUGAGUGUCAUAUUUGCAUAAUAUUUUUCCUGCAAAGUUAAAGAACUUGGAGUUAAAUUAGACCUAGGAGCAUGAAAAAUGUUUCUGAAUGCAGGAAACACCAAUGAACUUUUCUCAUAACCAGAAAGAUGGACAGUAUUAUGAAUAUACCUUUUGGAAUUUAAGGUAGGUUUUUUCUUUUUUAACUUAAAACAGUCUCAAAAUGAGCAGUUGGUCCUUCUAUAGUGCACACUAUUGGUGGCCCAUCCACAAUCCUUUCCCCUUUUCCUUGUUGGCAGAGCAAGGUAUUUGGGUGUCCAUCAUUCUUCCAGGUGACUAAAGAAAGGGAUCCUCUCCCCAGUAGUAGGGCUUCUGUCAGUCAGUCAGUCACAGCAGCUCCAUUCCCCUUGCCAGUGUUGGCAUAGGGUGGACAUGUGACCUAGUAAUAAAACUUAAGAAGAAGUCUUCUAGAAAAAAUGGUUUCCUCUUCCUCUGGACAUUAUCAGACUGGCUGUAACUCCUAUCUUAUCAUGAUAAGACAAAGCCAAGUCGCUCUGGAAGACAGAGUGACAAAAUGGAAAGAACUUGGAUGCUUAGUGAUAGUGUUGGGCCGCUGAAUUUAACCCUGAGCAUCCCUACCUUUGGACUUCUUGUUGUACCAGAUAAUAAUUUUUCUGUUAUUUAAGCAAAAUUGAGUCAGCCAAAGGCAUAGUAACUGACUGCAUAGUUUCCCUGAUCUUGGUGGAUAUGUGGCUCAAUUUGGAAGCACAGCAUGAUAGUCUCUAUAUCUGGGACCACUGGGUCCCAAACAACAUAGGGAGACUCCUCCUACGCAAGGCCUGAAAAUUUCCCUGCAUACUGGUUCUUCCAGGUGGUCUGCACAUUCAUUACUGCUCUACACAGUAGUCAUGGUGUGACCCCAGGCUGGAGACAUUCAGCAAAGGCAAAUUGAAAAACCAAAUCUAAUGAAUGUGAACUUGGAUUUCUUAAAAUAGAAUUGUUAAUGCUGUUAACUGAACUGAGUGUGUUAUGGAAAGUGCUUCAUGUUGUGCACCAUAGUCUAAACAUUUAUCUUUUUCAGAAUGAACAGUACUUUGGGAUUUUGCUCUCUGGAAAAGAGACUACUGUAGAAUAUAAGUCUGGGUUCUGAGUGCAGGCUGCCAGAAUUCAAAUCCUGUAUCUGUCUCAAGCCAGUCCUGGUGGUCUAGUGGUUAAGACUCAGUGCUCUCACCGCUGUGGCCCACGUUCAUUUCCUGUUCAAGGAACCACACUACCCAUCCGUCAGUUGUUAUACUGUGGUGGCUAUGUGUUGCUGUGAUGCUGAAAGCUAUGCCACCAGUGUUUCAAAUACGAUCAGGGUCACCCAUGGUGGACAGGUUUCAGCAGAGCUUCCAGACUAGGAGGAAGGAUCUGCCACCCCUUCUGAAAAAGUUGGCCAUGAAAACCCUAUGAAUAGCAGCAGAGUAUUGUCUGUUAUAGCACCGGAAGGUGAGAAGAUGAUGCAAAAAGACUGGGCAAGGUUCAAAACUGCUGUACAACAAAUCUGUCAUUAACCACAUGUAUACCAUUGAGCAAGUUACAGUACUUCUUUGCACCCCAGUUUCCCAAUCUGUAAAAUGGGUAUAAUAAUAGCACUUAUCUCAUAGGAUUUUUGUGAGGCUCUAUCAUUUUUUCAUCAUAUUGUAGAUUCUAAGAAAUUGUUAGCUAUUUUCAUUAUUUGCUGAUUGGAUUGAAAGCAUCCUCUCUUUCUUCUCUAUCCUUUUGGGUGAAAAGUAAUUAUUUUCCUUGAAUCUAGGGGGUUUUCCAUGACUCUGUCUGGAAAAUUUUGACUAUAACAUGAUUACUUUAUAUUUAUCUACUUCACGACAGGAGAAAAUAAUAUCUUGAAAACUAAUUGUGCUAUGUUCUUUUUUUAUAAUUAAUAUUGUUACUACUAAUAACAUCACUAUACUUAGAAAUUCUUUCAAUCAUAGAAUCCUUACCAUUUGUAAUCUGGUAAAUAAAUCCUGGGUUAUCUUAAUUUUUAAGACUGUAUAAAUGAUAGCAAUUUCAGUAAGUGACUCCAGUAAAGUCCCUCUCUUUAGCUCCUAUUUCUCAGUUACUCACUAUUCUUGUAGUAAUCAUCUACCUGAACACUAUAAGUUUAAAAUUUCCCCUCAAAGUGCAGCAAGACCCUCACAAAUGCUUUCUGAAUGGGAUGUCUUUCUUCAACAGUCUUAACAUUUUUAUUCUUCUUUGCAUAUAAUUUAAUUUUACAUUUUUCAGAGAAUUAUCUCUAAAUAUCCUGUAAGCAAAAGAUUCUGGGAUGAAAAUUAUGGUCCCUGGGUUUUCAUUUUUAGCAUUUGAACUGCAGAAUGUUACAACAGAAUAAAUACUCGUUUGUUCCAGGCACCUUAUCUGUAGAAAACAGUACUGACUUUCAGAUAAGGCCACUGGAUGUAUUGGUGUUUAAGUCAUAAUUAUGAUGUGAAGAUUAAUCUCUAACUUUCUUGCUUAGAUUGUUUUCUUUGAUAUAGCUUCACUUAAAUUUUUUAUAAGUUCUCAACUAUACAUAAAUUUGUAACUACUGACAUCUUUUUCCUGCAUAAAAAUCCUUUAUUUAUGUACUCAUUCAAAAUUUUACUGCUUAGUCUAGAGGGACACAAAGAUGAGGAGAAUUUAGAUUAUUUUCUAUAAUUUCUGUGAUUAAUCAAAAUAUUAAUAGUGGCAAUAUUCAUAAACACCUUUUAACUAUUAGAGGGUAGGAGGAUGACAUAGAUAAAUACUACUCAAACAAAUUGUACAUAUCUUAUUAAAUUACUAGCUUCUGCAAAUUACAUCUUUUUCUAAACGUUAAAAGAAAAAACAAAAGCUGUGCUCUGUUAUAUUUAAAUAUUUCUAAGGAAAAAAUCAGGGGCUGACUGAAGAAUGAUUCAAAAGAAAUUCAAAUUAGAAAGAUCCUUCGGGUUGCAAAAGGUAGAAAUUCCAUUCCUGAUACAAUGGCAAGACUGAGAAGAUGUAACAACGUUAAAAUCAUGCAACAGAUACAUAACUAGUUCAUGACAGGGGAGACAAAGUCAUGAAUGUUGCAAAUAAUUUUUUUUUUAAUUGAAGGGAGAGAGGAAAAAAUGGCCACGUGUUUUUCUAUGACAGAGAGGGAAAGGCUGAGAGAGCCUGAGAGACUAAGUAGAUAACAAAUAACGUGAGAUUAUUGAGAGCCGGCCUCGUGGCUGAGUGGCUAAAGUUCUGUGUGCUCCGCUUUGGUGGCCUUGGUUCACAGGUUCAGAUCUGGGUGCCGACCUGCUCCACUCAUCGGCCAUGCCAUGGAGGCACCCUGCAUACAAACACUAGAGGAAGAUUGGCACAGAUGGUAGCUCAGAGCUAAUCUUCCUCAAGCAAAAAAAAUGGAGGAUUGCCAAUGUAUGUUAGCUCAGAGUGAAUCUUCUUCACCAAAAAAAAAUAAAUAAACAAUAACAUGAGAUUAUCUUUGAGAGAUUUAGAACAUUAAGUAAAAGUCGUCAUCGUGGCAGCAAGAAAACUGGCUACAGGCACAGCUUUAAUGCCAAGCAGAGCAGCCCCAGGGCAUCCAAUCCUAGAGGAAGGAAGAGAGAAUAAGAUGAUGAUGAUGAUGAUGAAGAAUAGUUAUCUUAUAGGGCACCUAUUACAUAGCAGGCACUGUGCUCAGUGCUUACCUGUCAUUUCAUCUACUACUAUGAAUGAUCCUCAAAGACCAUCUUUACUAAUGUUUUACAACAUUGAGAAAACCGAGGAGCAGAGAAGUGAUGAGAUUUGCGCAAGGUCACUAUUGGAUUGUAACCUGUGGUGGGUGAUUCCUCUAACCUCUCUCACUUGAGACACCCCUUGAGUGUCAGAGCUUCUCCAUCCCUUCUUUCCAUGUCACUUAUAAAUCUGCAUCCUCUGGAUACCCUUCCAGGCCCAGCCAGUGUAAUUAAGGGGACAUUCCAAGCAUGCAACAGAAAUCUCUGUAUGUAGGAGCUUAUCUCUCCCUAUACAAUAAGCAGAUAGAUCCUGAUUCCUGUUGAAGCAAUAUUCAUGCAAAAUAAUUGCAUCUACUGACGAGAACUGGUAUUAUUCAGAGGCUGAUCACCCAGUCUGUGGACUGAGAGUCGACGAUAAAUCCUUGUCAGCAAUAUUGCUUUGAAUUCACAGGGAACUUUCAUCUGAAAGGGCUUUGUACUUAAGAGAAGAGUGAUUGCCCAGAUUUUUAGCAAAUACUUUGUUGGACUUCAGAAAAUAAAUUGCAGUUAUGGAUUUCCAUAUCAUAUUUUAUGUGCAAUGUAUUUGUAAUAAUUCCUUUCCAUCCUGUACCUUUUUAACUAUAUGGUAAGGUUUAAAGCUCUACAGUCAAUCCUUUAGUUGAUAGUUUGGCAACAGAGUUCUGCACAUUUUAAGUUUCUAUAAAUUAGCAAAAAUAAUAACUAAUGUUUGUACAGCACUUUCAAUUUAUAGUUCUCUUUCCCAGGCAGAUGAGAAUAUUGUUUCAUUUUUCAGAUGAGAAAACCAAGGUGGAAGAGGUCAGUGAUAUUCCCAUGGUCACCCAGCUAAUAAGAGUUAAGCCUGGUCCUUCCAACUGCACGUCGUAAGAUUUCUUUCCUGCCCUACACUUCCCUCGGCUCCAAGUGUAUGAUAUAUUCCUUAGAUUGUGAGUUAGCGUCUCAAGUCAGGCUUGUUGCCUAGAAAUAGAUAGGUGUUCAAACUGUUUAAUGACUAAGUAAAUGAAUAGGAAAGUAUUUUCACUUAAAUUGUUUCCAUUUCACUCAUUUCCAUAUUUCAUAUCAAAAGCACCUUCCUGUCGUAAGUAGAGACCUACCUGUAUAGACAGAAAAUGAGGUCCAGAGAGGUUAAUUAAGUGCCUAGAGCCAUAUAAGUGAUUUACUAGCAGAACAAGAAACACUGAGCUCCAAUUCUAUCUUGUCUGGCUCGCUCUUUGCCUUUCUCAGUGUAAAAUGUCAGUCUCUUCCAGCCAGCUCUGUUUUUCAGUGCAUGCAUUUUCCUGGUCAUAAAUGUUUUCUUUCUAGUAUGGCUAGCCAAAAACACAUUUAGUGGGAGAGCAUGACACAUACUAUAUAAAAAAGAUAGUAUUUGUUAUUGAGUGUUUCCCGUUUGGAUCUCAACAUCCCAAUUUAACUGGAUGUCAUCCAUAAGGAUUGUUAAUUAUCAAGUCUCAGGCAAACAACUCCAUUUUAAAAAUUACUCACAUUCAAAAAAAUUUACUUGGGAAAAAGAACCAGAUACAGAUUUUUAAAAUAAAAGCUAAACAAUUUUAUGUGAUUGCAUAUAGAUAGUGGCAACAUAUCUCUAAGUGUAAGACAUUAUUUGGCUUUAUAUAAAAAACAGAAAAAAAUGGGUGAUAAAUAUUCUUAGUUUAAAAAAAGAACACAGCUGUAUGAGACAUAAAGAUUUACGUGCUAAUAACAAUAGGAAAAAAUGCAUCUUUUUCAUGAACAAAUAGUAAAAUCUUAUCUUAAUAGAGUAGGUAGCAAUCAAGAUGAUCUAAAUUAACUUUCUAAAAGAGAGAAGUUGGAAAUCUAUCCUAACAUUUUUUUAAAAGUAACACUUUGCUUAAAUAAUGUAGUAUAAUAAAUUUAGUCUCCUUUUUUUCCUUUUAUUAGCAAAUUAGAAUUUACACAUAGAAUAAAAAUAAUGCCUUCUAUGUUUAUUGAUUGUUUUUGUGCCACUUUCAUUGUCAUUUAACUAAACUUGUGUUACAAAUGGUAUCCUGUAAUGGAUUUUUACUUUUUUAUCAAAAGAAGGCGAUUUCAUUUUCUACCUCGGAGAGAAUCCAAUGCAAAAUAGAGCCAGCAUAAUUACAUACGUACUUUUAUAACUUCAAUAUCAUAAUAUUUUGAUUUUGCUUUAUAUCACGUACUUUCCCAGCUGGUGGGCAGCUUCUGUUUUAGCUUUGUGGAUUAUAUUAGUAACGGGGGAAAGAGAUAUCAUACACAUUGUGAAACUAAUGAGCCCAACAUUCUGGUGUCAUUUGAGGAUACAAUAUUACAUCUGUUUGAUAGUCUUUGACUUGCUUUGUUAUAAUGCCUUGUACUCCAGGCACAGUGGCACUUCAUAAUUAUUUAUAGCAUGUAAGGACUUAGGCAGCAGCAGCAGAAUAUAAGUGCCAGGGGGGUAGUCAGGAAAGGAGAAAGACUUAGGAAGGACUGAUGAGGAAGGUAGAUACCAAGACAUGAGUCAAACCAGAUGUUGUGAACAGGGUUCCACAUGGUCAGGACAAAUCAGGGGAGCAGAUGACAAGAAAGCAGUAAGGCAGUAAGAGAAAACAUCUGGACAGCCAAAUCCCUUUCUUCAGGGUCAAAUAAGGUUUAAGAGAAGAGGCAAUUUCCUACUUCAGCUUUAGGAGUCCUCUGAUCUCAUGGGAACUAGUUCUUCAAUACAGUGCUUGUAAAACUUAAUGUGCAUAUGAAUCCCCUGGAGAUCUUUUAAAAUGCAGAUUCUGAUUCAAGAGGUCUGAGAUGAGGUCUGGCAUCUCCACUUCCAACAAUCUUCUAGAUGAUACUGAUGCUGCUGGUACAGGGAUCACAUAUUGUACAUCAAAAUGUUAAGCCAGCCCAGAGAUAGGCAAAGUAGACCAGCCAAAAGCUGGCUAGAAUGAGGAGCAUAGCAUUGGGGAGCAAGUAGAGUUUCUAAUAAAGGCAGAAUCUGCAAAUUUAAUGUAUUUCAGAUGAAAAAGCAAACUUGGUUGAUGGUUGCUUGUUAUGGAUUGACUUAACUCCCCGCCCCAAGAUAUCGAAUCCUAACCCCAGUACCGUGGAAUGUGAUCUUAUUUGGAAAUGGGGUCUUCACAGAGGUAAUUGAGUUAAAAUGAGGUCAUUAGGAUGAAACCUAAUCCAUUAUGACUGUGUCCUUAUAAAAAGGGAAAAUCUGAAUGCAGACAGACAUGCACUGAGGGAAGACGAUGUGAAGACACACAGGAGAAGAUGCCCAUGGGCCUGGAAUAAUGCGUCUAUAAGCCAGUGAACACCAAGGGUAGCCAGCAAACACCAGAAGCUAGAAGAAGCCAGGAUUCUUCCCUAGAACCAUCAGAGCGUGGCCCUGCUGACGUCUGGAAUUUGGACUUCUAGACUUCAGAACCGUGAGACAAAAAGAAGCUGAAGAUCAAGACUUGGAAAGAGUAGCACGUUUCUUAGUGAAGAAACAGCCAAGAAAAUUACUGCUCUCCUAGCUCAAUGAGAAGCAUUAAUUAAAGCCACAAGUACAAGCAUGAAACAAAUUUCCACCAAGAACCUCUGCAGUGUGUGUUGGGGAAAAGAAAUACAUGGAACUAGGAAGAAGUCUCCAACUAUGAUCACAUUUGGAUUUUCUCAGAAUACCUUGUAAGAGGGGGAUGUUUCUCAGCUCUGUGCCAAAAACUCAGAACCUGGAGGUGGGGAGACUAGAGAGACUGAAUCUUGGUCCCCCCACCCGCAGUAAUAUUCAUUUCAGCUGUUUCAGCUUCCCAGCCUACAGUACAAGGAAGAAACCAAAGUUACCAUGACAAUUUCUAAACUGUUAGCAAAACCAAUAGUCUACUACAGGGUGGGGGAGAAUGAAGAUCUUCAUCGCCUCUUCCCAUUCAUGAGCGUAAUCACUAAGCCUAUCAGUUUGCUAGAGGAGACAAUCAGUAAUGAACUCAUUACAGAAAUAAACUUAGCAAUCCAGUGGAAAUGGGCAAAGAAGAUGAGCUGAGAGUUCACGUGCACUCAAAAAGCAAAUGGCUGUUAAACACAUGAAAAGAAACUAGAUCUCUCUAAUAGAGAAGAAAGGACAAAAUAAAAUAAAAGUGCAGUGAGAUAUCAUUUUCAUGUGGCAGACUGAGCAAGACCCAAAAGUUUUGUGGUUCCUUGGAUGGAUGAGGGUGAACAGACUGUUGUUGAUGGGGAUGGAAAUUGAUAGAAUAUUUCGGAAGUCUAUUUGGAAAUAUCUACCAAAAUGUAAAGAGAAUACAGCAAAAUUCAUAAUGCACACACAUGUCUAGGACUUUUCUUAAAGCUAUAAUCACCCUAAUGUGCAAAACCAUAUGUACGAAGAUUAUUUAUUACAGCACUGAAUACUGUUUGUAAUAACAAAAUAAUGCAGACAAUCUUAACAUCUGACAAUAGUAAAAUGCUCAAAUAAACUAAAUGCCUGUACAAUAGAAUAUCAUGCAGUCAUUAAGGAGAGGGUGGUUCUGAUAUGGACUAUUGUCAAGAUAUUUUGUUAAAUUACAUAAAAUAGAUACAGGAAAGUGUGCAGAUUUUCUGCCACCCUCCCCCAUUCACUGUCCUCCAGCCAUCCUGGCCUUUCUGUUUCUCAAGUAUGCCAAGCUCAUUUCAGCCUCAAGGCCUUUGUACUUGCUCUUCCUUCUGUCUGGAAUGUCUUCCCAAUUUUCACAUAGCUGGUGUCUGUUCAUCUUUCAGGUCUUAGUGCAAAUUCCUCCUCCUUAGACAGACCUUCUGACUACUAGCAGCCAUAUCUUACUGAAAGAAUCAGCCUGUUUUGCUUGAAACUGUGUGAUAUUACUAAUGCGUUUGUGAAGUAGAGUCCAUAAUAGCUAGAGUGCCCCACCUGUCACUUGUGUGAUUUUCUUCACAGGACUUAGCACUACUUGGAAACAUUUCAUUUUAAAAAUCAUUUUACAUGUUUAUUACUAACCCUUCCAUACACUCCAACUUAUUAGGAUUUAAGGCCCAUAAGGACAGGAAUUUUGUCCUGUUCAUCCCUAUGCCUCCAAUAUUUAGAGUGGCGCCAAAUACAGAGUAAACUCUCAAUAAAAGUUGAAUAAAUGAGUGAAUAAAGGAGAUACCCAUAUAUGCAAAAAAUAUUUCUAGAAAGUACCCAAGGAAAUCUUAGGCUGGUUCUUCAAGGGAAGGAACAGGAAGAAAACUCUUGUUCUGGUUUCAGUGUGCGAGAGAAACCAGGUGAGUGAGACACCGUGACUGACCUAGGUCUGCUCUAUAGGCAAGGAGAUGUUUCUUUGCCCUUGCGGGGCCAUCAGGAUAAGGCCUAAUAGCCUUCAGUUCAUAGUCAUACAGGAAUUGCAUACCUGCUGUGAAAGCAGAGUUGUUAUCUCACAUUGAAAGUCAAGGAAUAUUUAGACGCCAUUUCUCAGCUCCAAGCCCACCUUCUGUCCUGGUAGACUGGGAUUACUCAAACUACAUCCCCAAGACUCCCUUGCCUUAUGGCUUUCUAUUAGGUUCUAUCAAUGGAAAUCACAAGACAAAUACUCGAAGUAGUAAGCAGGGGAGGAGGAGCUUAUUUCCUAUUUUCUAUUUCUUGUUGGCAAUCUUCACUAAUAGCCCACAGUUGGCUACAACUUCCACCUUUUUCCAGCACUCGCAGUUCCAUUCUUACCAAGCUGCCUGGUAGCAGCCAAGCUGAGACCCUUGGCAGCCCUAGUAGGAGGUAAACUGCAUUCCCUUACCAAAUGUGCUGCUCCCUUGAGCCCUGGGAGACCCCACUAGGCCCUGCCCCUUCUCAGAGGGUUAGGCACCAACUGCAUGGAGUCCCUUCCCAGAAGCCCAAGCACUAGUUCUGUAGGGGCUGUUCUCCCAGCUCAUAGGUUCUGGUUAGAGGCCUCUUCCCCAUGUUCUCCAGGCUUGGGAGUGGUAGCUGCUUCCUACUGUCAUUAAUCUCUGGGUGCCUCAGCAUCCUCUUUUUGCUCUUUUAGCCUUCCAACUUAUGCAUAACCAAUUCCCUGUAAUUCGAACUAUUAUGGUUUCUAUUUUCCUUCCUGGAACAUCACCAAUGCAGUGCUUGUUCUGGGCUUUCUUCUCUAGGUCUAUGUUAUUCCCCUGGGUGAUCUUCAUUUAUCUUGAUCCAUUUAUACCCCUUAAGACAUAUAUCCAACUUCCUAUUUGCUAUUUACAUCUUAAAGUCUAAUAGACACCUCAAAUUUAUCUUGUCAAAAAAUGAACUCAUGUUGUACCAAUCUAUUCCUCUGCCAGAAUUUCCCAUCUCAGUAAAUUCAUUCAUUUGUUUGAUCCAAAUCCUCUAUCUAUUCAUUUGUUCAAUCCAAAACCCUAGCAGUCAUUCUUGCUUCCUAUCCUUCCUUGGUUAUUCAUAUUCAGUAUAUCAAUAUGUCAUGUUGGUUUCAUCUCCGAAACUAGACAUCCGUCUCCUCCUUUCCAUCUCUUACGUCAUUCUGCAGUCUACGUCAUCAUUAUCUAUCACUUUGGCUAUUACAGUUGUCUUCUAAGUGGUCUCCAUCUUUCAACUCUAGCCUUUCUAGAGCUGUUUUUCUACCUCAUAGCCAUAAUAAUAUUUAAAAAUGUAAGUUACAAUGAAAGUUAAAUCCAAACUCUUUAUCAUAGCCCUGUGAGAGUCCUGCUGGCACUUCCAACCUCAUCUGCUAUCACAGUCUGUUUGCACUAACUGUGCUCUAGACUCAGAGGCCUCUUCUUUGUCUCAUGCCACAUCAAGCUCUAUACAGACUGAAGUCCUUUAAAUUCACUGCUUCUUCUACAAGGAAUCUUCUUCUACUGGUUGUUCACAUGGUCUUAGUUUUCAUGUCAUAUCCUCAGGGAGGCGUUUCCUGACCACCAAAUCUAAAGUAGCCUUCCUCCCCUAAUUCCUCUCUAUUACAGAGUCCAAUUUACCUCCUUCAUACUCUUAUCUUGAUUACUUGUCCUUUCCUUUGUUUCCUGUCUAAAUACAUGGGAGGGGCCUUGCUAUUUAAUAUCACCUCCCUAGCACCUGAACACUCUCUAUUCCCUAAAAAGUGCUCAGUAAUAUUUGCUGACUGAAUGAAUGAAUGCUUUUAGUAUGCUCUUGUUUAAAGUACUCCAACAUUCAAGUCCUUAUGCACUUUCAAAUAUAUAAAAUUUUCCACUACACUGGAAAAUCUAUAGAAUUAGAUUUUUCUCCCAUCUACUCUCCUUUCCUAUCACACUUCCUAGGAAAUUUCUUGAGGAAAAGCAGCUUAUAAGAUCAAGACUUGAUGACAUAGCUAGCAUUUUCUUUGGAAAAAUAAUACAUAAAUGUAAGUCAAAGAUGCAGAUACACCAGAAUCUACGAGAUUUUCACAACAGCGAGAUUCAUGGCCUUUAAAAAUAUGUAGAACAAGAUGGAACAAAUGUUUUCAGUAGAUGUUCAGGUGCUCUUUUCUAAAAAUAACAUACGUAACCACAAAUCAAUGUUUAAAACCAGAUGGUUAAUGAAGGCCAGCCAGAAAACUCCUCUAAUUCACAGUAAUGAGUAUGGUAAUGAGCUCCCAUUAUAAACCAAACUGCAGCGUGACACACUGUAUCUAUUUCAAAUAAUAGUAAUUUGAUUGUUACAUAUUUUUCAAAGCUCCAAAGCUUAAUUUAUGGAGAAAAAUGUUUAAAAGCCUGAUUGAUGGAGUUAAUCAUGCCCAUUUAGUCAAAUGAAAAGUGGCUUACAUUUUAUUAACAAGACCUGUUCAAAUGUCAGAUGUCAUCAGAAGGAAAACAAUAUUCAAACCCAAAUAAAAGUUAAGAUCUUUCAAAACAUGAAAGAAGUCCCAUUACUAUGGUUGAAAAGAAUAUUUUUCCCUCAACUCUUUGAUGUCUUUACUUUUCAAAUAGGACCCUAAGAAAGGCGUGUUCUAUUGAACAAAAUGCUUCAGGGACUCUGCCAUGAUGGAAAAAUGCCAGGGAUUGAAUUU